rnacentral:lncRNA from 1 species
CUAACUUGAGGAGUGUUGGAUCUGGCACGUCAAUUAAUGACGCUUGAUCCAACACUCUGUGUUUUUUUUCCUGAUUUUAUUUCUUUUUCUAUUUUCAUUUUUAAUUGCGUUUUUUUAAAUUCAUAGAAAAUUCAUUUUACAUCCAAAAAAUCCAAAAAUAAUUUCUAAAAUUCUCUUUUAUUUUUCCCAUCUAAUUUUUAUUUUUCCACAUUUUAUUUUAUUGAUUUUCUAUUUUUUGUAGGAUUUCUCUUUUCUCU